UACGGAGGGUGCGAGCGUUGUCCGGAAUCACUGGGCGUAAAGGGCGCGUAGGCGGUGACUUAAGCGUGUGGUGAAAGCCCGGGGCUCAACCCCGGGUCUGCCGUGCGAACUGGGUCACUUGAGCACUGUAGAGGCAGGUGGAAUUCCGGGAGUAGCGGUGGAAUGCGUAGAGAUCCGGAAGAACACCAGUGGCGAAGGCGGCCUGCUGGGCAGUAGCUGACGCUGAGGCGCGACAGCGUGGGGAGCAAACAGG
rnacentral:rRNA from 1 species